rnacentral:rRNA from 1 species
AUUGAACGCUGGCGGCAUGCCUUACACAUGCAAGUCGAACGGCAGCACGGGAGCAAUCCUGGUGGCGAGUGGCGAACGGGUGAGUAAUGUAUCGGAACGUGCCCAGUCGUGGGGGAUAACGUAGCGAAAGCUACGCUAAUACCGCAUACGAUCUGUGAAUGAAAGCGGGGGACCGUAAGGCCUCGCGCGAUUGGAGCGGCCGAUAUCAGAUUAGGUAGUUGGUGGGGUAAAGGCUCACCAAGCCAACGAUCUGUAGCUGGUCUGAGAGGACGACCAGCCACACUGGGACUGAGACACGGCCCAGACUCCUACGGGAGGCAGCAGUGGGGAAUUUUGGACAAUGGGCGCAAGCCUGAUCCAGCAAUGCCGCGUGCAGGAAGAAGGCCUUCGGGUUGUAAACUGCUUUUGUACGGAACGAAACGGUUCUCUCUAAUACAGGGGGCUAAUGACGGUACCGUAAGAAUAAGCACCAGCUAACUACGUGCCAGCAGCCGCGGUAAUAC